UAAAUCUAAGUUAAUGAGGGAGAUGGGUCUAUAACUAGUGCAAAGGGAGGGGUCCUUACCCUCUUUAGGGAUCAUGACUAUCUUGGCCCUCUGCAUGUCCAAGGAAGGACGCGCUUCACCUGUGAGAAAGGCAUUGAAGAGACUCGUAAGGUGUGGGAGAAGACAUGCGGCAAAAGACUUGUAGUACUUGGCGGUAAAGCCAUCUGGGCCCGGGGCCUUCGGGUUCUUGAAAAGCUUCAAGGCAGCAGCUACUUCGUCCACCGUGAUAGGAGCAUUAAGCGCAGCAAGGGUCGUCGGAGUGAGCGAAGGCAGUUUACAGUCCAAGAGGAAGCGGCGCAAAUCAGAAGCGAGGGCCGGAGAUGAAGAUGUUUUUUUGCCGUCGUAGAGAUGGGAGUAGUACUCAGCAAAUCUAUCUGAAAUGGCUUCAGGGUCGGAUGUCAAACAGCCCGAUCUGGUCUUAAUGGUGCGUAUAGUCCGGGAGCGAGUAAGGUUCGCCAGUUUCCUGGCCAUCAUAGUAUCUGGCUUAUUAGCCUUCUCAAAAAACUUUUGCUUAGUACGAAGGAUUGCUUUAAUGGAGUCCGUAGAGAGUAACAGAUUCAAUUGGCCCCUAGUCGCUACGAUCUCUCGGAGAACACGAGGGUCACCAGAACGCUUAUGGUCAGAUUGCAACGCAAGCAACGAGGCAGUAAGGUCUUGAACUUGGGAUUGAAGUCGUUUCCGCUUGGCAGAAGUCAGGGCAAUAAAUUGGCCCCGGAGGACCGCCUUAUGCGCAUCCCAAACAGUACCCAAAGCAACCCCAGGAGUGGAGUUCUCAGCAAAAUAGUCGGUAAGAGAUUGCGUGAUGGACCCUCGGACUUCAGGAUCGAGAAGUAGAGCGUCGUUGAGCCGCCAGAAGGGUCGCAAAUUAGGAGGUUGAAGGUCCGCGAGCGAUAUCUCCACCAUUGCGUGAUCCGACCAUGAAAUCUCAUGAAUUUUGGAGGCAAGGAGCGAGGGGAGGAGGCGCUGAUUCAGAAAGAAAUAGUCCAGUCUGGAGUACAUUGUGUGAGGGUGAGAAUAAAAAGAGUAAUCCCGGUCCGUGGGAUGGAGAAGUCUCCAGGCAUCAAACAAUCCAAGGGUUUUGACAAAACGUUGCAAAGGUUUAAAGAGGAGCUUUGGGCAGGUGGAGGCUGAGGAAAGCGUCCUGUCCAUGUAAGGAUCCAUCACAGAGUUGAAGUCCCCUCCAAGGAUAAGGCCUCCCGGCGGAACCGUGAGGAGCAGGUGCAGAAGCUUGUCAAAGAACGCAGAGCACGGAGGACUGGGAGCAUAGACGUUUACUAUCGAAACUGGUUGGUCAUUGAGCAGGCCAUCCAAUCGGAGAAAUCGACCAUCCAAGUCCGAGGACGAGUGAAGUACGCGGAAGGGAAGUCGUUUAUGUAUGAGAAUAGUGACACCGUUGUGCUUGUCCGGAGCCGCCGAGUGAAAGUGCAUGGGAUAUCGGGGGUCCCAGUAGGUGGGAGUACAUGUCUUGCGGAAAUGGGUCUCCUGGAGGAGAAUAAUAUCGGCAUGCAAUCGAAGAUAGUGUCGAAUCGCCAUGCGGCGUUUCUGCGGGGAGAGCAUCCCCUUCACAUUGUGGGAUAUGAUCUUCAGCCCUAGCGGCGGGGAGGAAGCCAUUUGUCAGACGACCGGGCCUGGAGGCAGAGGAAGAGGAGAAAAGGGAAAGGAGAAGGGAAAAAGAGAGAGAAAAAAAAAAAAAAAAAAAAAAAAAAAAAAGAGAAAGAGAAGAAAGAGCACCGGCGGGAGAGACCACCAGGGAAAGAACAGUGCAGCACAAAGGUAAUAGACUACAGUCAAAUGCGUCUAUAAGAAAGUAUCUCGGGGGAACCGGAAUGAAGAGAUGGAGAGAAUGCUCCCUCAACAACAAAGAGAACAAGCAUAUAACAUCCAUUAAACAGUGCAAACUGGAACAAGGUACAAUAAUACCACAGAACAGAUAAAUGACCAGCAGCGGCGUGCCAACUAGAUAGCCCCCCUGGAUAAGUGGAAAUCAGUCCCCAAAAUGUGACGUAUGAACAUCGGGAGUGGCAACACAGAGGCGUGUAAGAUGCGAGCGUAUAUGGGUGAAAAGAAAUAAAUAAAAAUAGAGAAAACAUAACAAAACAAAGCAAAACAAACAAACAAACAAACAAACAAACAAAAAAAAAAAAAAAAUGGGUAAAAAGGAAAGAUGUGUGGUAAGGUUGGUGCGUAGCCACUGCCAAUGAAUCAAGGCGAGAGCCAAUAGGCGGGAAGGACCCCACAUAUCAUAGCGCAAAUGGGCAGCGGAGCGCCUAGGAAUACAUCCCCACACGGAGGUAGCUCAAGCACAGUGCCGCAGACAUGCGACGUGCAUUUAUAUAGAUAUAUAAUAAAAUAAAAAAAAAAAAUAAAUAAAUAAAUAAUAAAAUAAUAAAAAAAAAAAAAAAAAAAAAGAAAAGGAAAGAUGUGUGGUAAGGUUGGUGCGUAGCCACUGCCAAUGAAUCAAGGCGAGAGCCAAUAGGCGGGAAGGACCCCACAUAUCAUAGCGCAAAUGGGCAGCGGAGCGCCUAGGAAUACAUCCCCACACGGAGGUAGCUCAAGCACAGUGCCGCAGACAUGCGACGUGCAUUUAUAUAGAUA